rnacentral:rRNA from 1 species
CGGGACACGUGGUAUCCUGUCUGAAUAUGGGGGGACCAUCCUCCAAGGCUAAAUACUCCUGACUGACCGAUAGUGAACCAGUACCGUGAGGGAAAGGCGAAAAGAACCCCGGCGAGGGGAGUGAAAAAGAACCUGAAACCGUGUACGUACAAGCAGUGGGAGCACAGAGCAAUCUGUGUGACUGCGUACCUUUUGUAUAAUGGGUCAGCGACUUAUAUUCUGUAGCAAGGUUAACCGAAUAGGGGAGCCGAAGGGAAACCGAGUCUUAACCGGGCGUUAAGUUGCAGGGUAUAGACCCGAAACCCGGUGAUCUAGCCAUGGGCAGGUUGAAGGUUGGGUAACACUAACUGGAGGACCGAACCGACUAAUGUUGAAAAAUUAGCGGAUGACUUGUGGCUGGGGGUGAAAGGCCAAUCAAACCGGGAGAUAGCUGGUUCUCCCCGAAAGCUAUUUAGGUAGCGCCUCGUGAAUUCAUCUCCGGGGGUAGAGCACUGUUUCGGCAAGGGGGUCAUCCCGACUUACCAACCCGAUGCAAACUGCGAAUACCGGAGAAUGUUAUCACGGGAGACACACGGCGGGUGCUAACGUCCGUCGUGAAGAGGGAAACAACCCAGACCGCCAGCUAAGGUCCCAAAGUCAUGGUUAAGUGGGAAACGAUGUGGGAAGGCCCAGACAGCCAGGAUGUUGGCUUAGAAGCAGCCAUCAUUUAAAGAAAGCGUAAUAGCUCACUGGUCGAGUCGGCCUGCGCGGAAGAUGUAACGGGGCUAAACCAUGCACCGAAGCUGCGGCAGCGACACUGUGUGUUGUUGGGUAGGGGAGCGUUCUGUAAGCCUGUGAAGGUGUGCUGUGAGGCAUGCUGGAGGUAUCAGAAGUGCGAAUGCUGACAUAAGUAACGAUAAAGCGGGUGAAAAGCCCGCUCGCCGGAAGACCAAGGGUUCCUGUCCAACGUUAAUCGGGGCAGGGUGAGUCGACCCCUAAGGCGAGGCCGAAAGGCGUAGUCGAUGGGAAACAGGUUAAUAUUCCUGUACUUGGUGUUACUGCGAAGGGGGGACGGAGAAGGCUAUGUUGGCCGGGCGACGGUUGUCCCGGUUUAAGCGUGUAGGCUGGUUUUCCAGGCAAAUCCGGAAAAUCAAGGCUGAGGCGUGAUGACGAGGCACUACGGUGCUGAAGCAACAAAUGCCCUGCUUCCAGGAAAAGCCUCUAAGCAUCAGGUAACAUCAAAUCGUACCCCAAACCGACACAGGUGGUCAGGUAGAGAAUACCAAGGCGCUUGAGAGAACUCGGGUGAAGGAACUAGGCAAAAUGGUGCCGUAACUUCGGGAGAAGGCACGCUGAUAUGUAGGUGAAGUCCCUCGCGGAUGGAGCUGAAAUCAGUCGAAGAUACCAGCUGGCUGCAACUGUUUAUUAAAAACACAGCACUGUGCAAACACGAAAGUGGACGUAUACGGUGUGACGCCUGCCCGGUGCCGGAAGGUUAAUUGAUGGGGUCAGCGCAAGCGAAGCUCUUGAUCGAAGCCCCGGUAAACGGCGGCCGUAACUAUAACGGUCCUAAGGUAGCGAAAUUCCUUGUCGGGUAAGUUCCGACCUGCACGAAUGGCGUAAUGAUGGCCAGGCUGUCUCCACCCGAGACUCAGUGAAAUUGAACUCGCUGUGAAGAUGCAGUGUACCCGCGGCAAGACGGAAAGACCCCGUGAACCUUUACUAUAGCUUGACACUGAACAUUGAGCCUUGAUGUGUAGGAUAGGUGGGAGGCUUUGAAGUGUGGACGCCAGUCUGCAUGGAGCCGACCUUGAAAUACCACCCUUUAAUGUUUGAUGUUCUAACGUGGACCCGUGAUCCGGGUUGCGGACAGUGUCUGGUGGGUAGUUUGACUGGGGCGGUCUCCUCCUAAAGAGUAACGGAGGAGCACGAAGGUUGGCUAAUCCUGGUCGGACAUCAGGAGGUUAGUGCAAUGGCAUAAGCCAGCUUGACUGCGAGCGUGACGGCGCGAGCAGGUGCGAAAGCAGGUCAUAGUGAUCCGGUGGUUCUGAAUGGAAGGGCCAUCGCUCAACGGAUAAAAGGUACUCCGGGGAUAACAGGCUGAUACCGCCCAAGAGUUCAUAUCGACGGCGGUGUUUGGCACCUCGAUGUCGGCUCAUCACAUCCUGGGGCUGAAGUAGGUCCCAAGGGUAUGGCUGUUCGCCAUUUAAAGUGGUACGCGAGCUGGGUUUAGAACGUCGUGAGACAGUUCGGUCCCUAUCUGCCGUGGGCGCUGGAGAACUGAGGGGGGCUGCUCCUAGUACGAGAGGACCGGAGUGGACGCAUCACUGGUGUUCGGGUUGUCAUGCCAAUGGCACUGC